AUACGGAGGGUGCAAGCGUUAUUCGGAAUCACUGGGCGUAAAGGACGCGUAGGCGGGUUGGCAAGUCAGAUGUGAAAUCCUACAGCUUAACUGUAGAACUGCAUUUGAAACUGCUAACCUAGAGUAUGGGAGGGGGAGAUGGAAUUAGUGGUGUAGGGGUAAAAUCCGUAGAUAUCACUAGGAAUACCGAAAGCGAAGGCGAUCUCCUGGAACAUAACUGACGCUAAGGCGUGAAUGCGUGGGGAGCAAACAGGAUUAGAAACCCUAGUAGUCC
rnacentral:rRNA from 1 species